AAUCUUCCGCAAUGGACGCAAGCCUGACGGAGCAACGCCGCGUGAGUGAUGAAGGCUGUCGGAUCGUAAAACUCUCUUGUCAGGGAAGAACAAGUAUCGGAGUCACUGCCGGUACCUUGACGGUACCUGACGAGCACGCCCCGCCCCACUACUUGCCAGCAGCCGCGGUAAUACGUCGGUGGCAAGCGUUGUCCGGAUUUAUUGGGCGUAAAGCGCGCGCAGGCGGUCGUUUAAGUCUGGUGUGAAAUCUCACAGCUUAACUGUAAGCGGUCAUUGGAAACUGGGAGACUUGAGUGCAGAAGAGGAGAGUGGAAUUCCAUGUGUAGCGGUGAAAUGCGUAGAGAUAUGGAGGAACACCAGUGGCGAAGGCGACUCUCUGGUCUGCAACUGACGCUGAGGCGCGAAAGCGUGGGGAUCAAACA
rnacentral:rRNA from 1 species